rfam:Vigna radiata var. radiata cultivar VC1973A scaffold_169, whole genome shotgun sequence
GGCCAAUGAUGUAUCAUUUUGCAUGUAUUAUCAGAUGUAUUUAUGAUGAUAUCUUAAUUGUCACUACCUCUGAGGCC